CACGUAGGCGGAUUUCUUUAAGUCAGGGGUGAAAUCCCGAGGCUCAACCUCGGAACUGCCUUUGAUACUGGGGAUCUUGAGUCCGGGAGAGGUGAGUGGAACUGCGAGUGUAGAGGUGAAAUUCGUAGAUAUUCGCAAGAACACCAGUGGCGAAGGCGGCUCACUGGCCCGGUACUGACGCUGAGGUGCGAAAGCGUGGGAGCAAACAGGAUUAGAUACCCUGGUAGUCCACGCCGUAAACGAUGGAUGCUAGCCGUUAGACAGCUUGCUGUUUAGUGGCGCAGUUAACGCUUUAAGCAUCCCGCCUGGGGAGUACGGUCGCAAGAUUAAA
rnacentral:rRNA from 1 species